rnacentral:rRNA from 1 species
UGGGGAAUCUUGCACAAUGGGGGAAACCCUGAUGCAGCGACGCCGCGUGAGCGAUGAAGCCCUUCGGGGUGUAAAGCUCUUUCGGCAGGAACGAUAAUGACGGUACCUGCAGAAGAAGCUGCGGCUAACUACGUGCCAGCAGCCGCGGUAAUACGUAGGCAGCAAGCGUUGUUCGGAGUUACUGGGCGUAAAGAGUGUGUAGGCGGUUUGCCAAGUUUGGUGUGAAAUCUCCCGGCUUAACUGGGAGGGUGCGCCGAAAACUGGCAGGCUCGAGUGCGGGAGAGGAGAGCGGAAUUCCUGGUGUAGCGGUGAAAUGCGUAGAGAUCAGGAGGAACACCUGCGGUGUAGACGGCUCUCUGGACCGCAACUGACGCUGAGACACGAAAGCGUGGGUAGCAAACAGG